UACGUAGGGGGCAAGCGUUGUCCGGAAUCAUUGGGCGUAAAGCGCGUGUAGGCGGCCAGAAAAGUCCGCUGUGAAAACUCGAGGCUCAACUUCGAGCUGUCGGUGGAAACUUUCUGGCUAGAGUCCGGAAGAGGAGAAUGGAAUUCCUGGUGUAGCGGUGAAAUGCGCAGAUAUCAGGAAGAACACCCGUGGCGAAGGCGGGUCUCUGGGCAAUAACUGACGCUGAGGAGCGAAAAGCGUGGGGAGCGAACAGG
rnacentral:rRNA from 1 species